rnacentral:rRNA from 1 species
GAUGAACGCUGGCGGCGUGCCUAAUACAUGCAAGUCGAGCGAACGGACGAGAAGCUUGCUUCUCUGAUGUUAGCGGCGGACGGGUGAGUAACACGUGGAUAACCUACCUAUAAGACUGGGAUAACUUCGGGAAACCGUAGCUAAUACCGGAUAAUAUUUUGAACCGCAUGGUUCAAAAGUGAAAGACGGUCUUGCUGUCACUUAUAGAUGGAUCCGCGCUGCAUUAGCUAGUUGGUAAGGUAACGGCUUACCAAGGCAACGAUGCAUAGCCGACCUGAGAGGGUGAUCGGCCACACUGGAACUGAGACACGGUCCAGACUCCUACGGGAGGCAGCAGUAGGGAAUAUUCCGCAAUGGGCGAAAGCCUGACGGAGCAACGCCGCGUGAGUGAUGAAGGUCUUCGGAUCGUAAAGCUCUGUUAUUAGGGAAGAACAUAUGUGUAAGUAACUGUGCACAUCUUGACGGUACCUAAUCAGAAAGCCACGGCUAACUACGUG